rnacentral:rRNA from 2 species
UUCCGUAGGUGAACCUGCGGAAGGAUCAUUACCGAGUGAGGGCCCUCUGGGUCCAACCUCCCACCCGUGUCUAUCGUACCUUGUUGCUUCGGCGGGCCCGCCGUUUCGACGGCCGCCGGGGAGGCCUUGCGCCCCCGGGCCCGCGCCCGCCGAAGACCCCAACAUGAACGCUGUUCUGAAAGUAUGCAGUCUGAGUUGAUUAUCGUAAUCAGUUAAAACUUUCAACAACGGAUCUCUUGGUUCCGGCAUCGAUGAAGAACGCAGCGAAAUGCGAUAAGUAAUGUGAAUUGCAGAAUUCAGUGAAUCAUCGAGUCUUUGAACGCACAUUGCGCCCCCUGGUAUUCCGGGGGGCAUGCCUGUCCGAGCGUCAUUGCUGCCCUCAAGCACGGCUUGUGUGUUGGGCCCCCGUCCCCCUCUCCCGGGGGACGGGCCCGAAAGGCAGCGGCGGCACCGCGUCCGGUCCUCGAGCGUAUGGGGCUUUGUCACCUGCUCUGUAGGCCCGGCCGGCGCCAGCCGACACCCAACUUUAUUUUUCUAAGGUUGACCUCGGAUCAGGUAGGGAUACCCGCUGAACUUAAGCAUAUCAAUAAGCGGAGGAA